UACCAGCACCCCGAGUGGUCGGGACGAUUAUUGGGCCUAAAGCAUCCGUAGCCGGUCCUGCAAGUCUUCCGUUAAAUCCACCUGCUCAACAGUUGGGCUGCGGGGGAUACUACAGGGCUAGGAGGCGGGAGAGGCAAGCGGUACUCAGUGGGUAGGGGUAAAAUCCGCUGAUCCAUUGAAGACCACCAGUGGCGAAGGCGGCUUGCCAGAACGCGCUCGACGGUGAGGGAUGGAAGCUGGGGGAGCAAACCGG
rnacentral:rRNA from 1 species